rnacentral:rRNA from 1 species
AUUGAACGCUGGCGGCAGGCCUAACACAUGCAAGUCGAGCGAGCGGCGGACGGGCGAGUAAUGUAUGGGGACUGCCCGAUAGAGGGGGCUAACUACUGGAAACGGUGGCUAAUACCGCAUACUAUCGGAUAACCCAUAUGGGAUUAGCUAGUGGGUGGGGUAAAGGCUCACCUAGGCGACGAUCUCUAGCUGGGCUGAGAGGGUGAUCAGCCACACUGGGACUGAGAAACGGCCCAGACUCCUGCGGAGGCAGCAGUGGGGAAUAUUGCACAAUAGGCGCAAGCCUGAUGCAGCCGUGCCGGGUGUAUGAAGAAGGCCUUAGGGUUGUAAAGUACUGUCGGCGGGGAGGCGUUACCCGCAAAGGAAGCACCGGCUAACUCCGUGCCAGCCGCCGCGGUAAUAC